AUUGAACGCUGGCGGCAGGCCUAACACAUGCAAGUCGGACGGUAGCACAGAGGAGCUUGCUCCUUGGGUGACGAGUGGCGGACGGGUGAGUAAUGUCUGGGGAUCUGCCCGAUAGAGGGGGAUAACCACUGGAAACGGUGGCUAAUACCGCAUAACGUCGCAAGACCAAAGAGGGGGACCUUCGGGCCUCUCACUAUCGGAUGAACCCAGAUGGGAUUAGCUAGUAGGCGGGGUAAUGGCCCACCUAGGCGACGAUCCCUAGCUGGUCUGAGAGGAUGACCAGCCACACUGGAACUGAGACACGGUCCAGACUCCUACGGGAGGCAGCAGUGGGGAAUAUUGCACAAUGGGCGCAAGCCUGAUGCAGCCAUGCCGCGUGUAUGAAGAAGGCCUUCGGGUUGUAAAGUACUUUCAGCGGGGAGGAAGGCGGUGAGGUUAAUAACCUUGCCGAUUGACGUUACCCGCAGAAGAAGCACCGGCUAACUCCGUGCUAGCAGCCGCCGUAA
rnacentral:rRNA from 1 species